GCCUUGACAAACUUUGAGCAAGGCAUAACCAACUACCCACCUGACAUACUGCUUCCUGUCAUGGAACAGUGAGGUCACCGAGCACAGCUGAUACUCAAGAUUCAGAUCAGAACAGGAGCCUUUUUCACCCUGCAGGAGAGAGCUGCUGACAUGGCUUGCCCUGGUUUGCUGUGGGCACUCGUGAUUUUCACCUAUCUUGGAUCCAGCACAGCCCAGACGGUCACUCAGACUCAACCAGACACGUCUGUGCGGGAGACAGAGACUGUGACCCUGCACUGCACGUAUGACACUAGUGACACUAAUUAUUAUUUGUUCUGGUACAAACAGCCUCCCAGUGGGGAGAUGAGUUUCAUUAUUCGCCAAGAAUCUUAUAAUCAAGAGAAUGCAACAGAGGAUCGCUUCUCUGUGAACUUCCAGAAAGCAAAAAAAUCCUUUGGUCUCAGGAUCUCAGACUCCCGGCUGGAGGAUGCUGCAGUGUAUUUCUGUGCUAUCACUAGGGGCACAGUGACAUGAGCAGU